rnacentral:misc_RNA from 1 species
GUAGGUGAACCUGCGGAAGGAUCAUUAUUGAAUAUUCUUGAUGGGUUGUAGCUGGCUCUUUGGAGUAUGUGCACGCCUGUCUUGACUUAAUUCAUCCACCUGUGCACCUUUUGUAGUCUUGGGGGCUGAGUGCAGUCGACUGUCGGACGGCUAUUGUAGUCUAUCCGGAUGUGAGGAAUGCUGAGUGCGCAAGCAUACGGCUCUCUUCAAAAUGACUUGCAAACCCUCUCCCUCGAGUACUAUGUAUUCAUAUACCACAUAGUAUGUUGUAGAAUGUGAUCAAUGGGCCUCUGUGCCUAUAAUAACCAUAUACAACUUUCAGCAACGGAUCUCUUGGCUCUC